AUAAAAUUUGGUUUGUUUUUUUUUUGUAUUUUCAUCAUCAUAGGUCAAAGAUGUUAUUAAGUAUCACGUCUGAAAAAGCACCUGCAAAUCUGCUAAGCCAGAGGAUACUAAAAUGUCUCCUGUUGUGUAUUUGGGGCCGUGGGUGAACUUUCAGGCUUGUGCUAUGGAAUUGGCUCGUGGUGGCAGCUGACAUGCUCAUAAUUAUGAUUGUUCUGUUACUGCUGCUUCUGUUCCAAGUAGAACACAACAGGACAAGGCAGGAAUGCGGAAAAACUUGAGGAAAUUAGAGCUAGUCUUUGGAUCGAAAUGAGCUACCAAUAAAGGGUUGGGAAAUGGAUCUCAGGGAAGAGAAGCACUUGAUGGCCACUGCUCCAAGGUGCAGACCCUUUGCAGCUGCUGAUGACCUUGUCAGGUCUCCAGAUAAAGGCAUGUCUUGUCACCCUCAGGCACCUGGCUGAGUGGUAAUAAAACGGUUGCCUUAUCUUCCAAAGGUGGAGUUAGUCAAACCUCAGCCCGAGGUAAUUACAGUGAACUGAAAUUGCCUGUCAUUUACAAAAAAGGGGGAGGGAGGGAGAAAGGAAAAAAGCUAAAGGCAGGAAAUUGUGUUUGUCUCUCUCCUUGGAUUUAAAAAAGAAAGCCAUCAAAACAGCAAGAAGUUUUCCAGGGAGUGAGAAAAACAGCCUGGCUAGACUCCCCUCACCCCGGGUUAACAGGAUUGCUGACAGAUCAGGACCACGUGAUGAUCAAAAAAGAGGCUCAAGCUGAUGAAAAUCCAAGAAAUCUUCUUAGGAGCCUUCCUUUCUAAAUGUAAAUGACUGAGUCAUUGCUUUGCUAAGGAGGGAAGGAAGUUACAAUCACACCAAGUGACUCAUUCAUUGCUGUUAGCUCCGGCAGUUGGAUAAAAAGUUUUAGCAAAAGCAGCAACAAAUCUGCUUUAAAUACUAGCACAGUAAGGGAAUUCCUCUCUUUCAGGAUGAAUGCCAUCCACACAAAAGAGCUCCUGUUGACAUCUCAUUUACAAUCUCCCCCGGGACACAGACAAGACCGUUUCAAUAAACCCGGCUCAGAAACACCUAUUGUUUAAAAUCUUCAACUAGCAAUGGGCUACCACCACUCCCUAUGGCUUUGCAAAAUAGAAGAUUUAGAAGGAGAAAGAUUGGGACAGUGGAAGUUAUGAAAAGAGGCAGGAAAAAAGUCCCUUUGACCCGAUGCUGUCAGCAUGCAUGAAGAAUUAAGUUAAUGGUAUUUCCAUUUUUACAAAAAGUGCAUAAGAAAUGCCAGUGAUGUUCCUGAACCAGUGAUUGUGAAUUCUAAAUUUGAUGCCAACUGUAUGUGUAAAGAAGCUAACUACUGCCAACAUGGUUGCUAAGUGAAAAGCCAAGGCUGUACUUAACCUAUUCCCAGCCUUACAAAAGCCUAACAGCAGCCACAGCAAAGCACCAGGAGCACUGACCCACGUGACACGGCCGAACACUGGCAGAUAACUCCUUUAUGACUUGGCUGCGGCACCUUGUAUUAGCCUCUGCUGACAUUUUCACAGCUAACUGCAUAUCAUUUCCUGAGCAAACCAAUCCGUUACAUGCCUUUGUGUCUGUGGCAAUCAUCGGUGUUUACUCCCUCAUAACCAUCCUCCCUGUCCUCCUGGCCUUUUCACGCAGCCCUGGCUGUUAGGGGAAGCUGGCGCCCUCCCUACAGUUGGAGGCUGAAUCUUCACUGGCCUACAAGACAGAGAUGAGAAGGGAGUUCUGACGGGAAUGCAUCUGGGAAGUCUCACCUCGCUAUUUUAAGGGACACAAGGCAGGGACAUCCCUUUUCUUCCUCUGGACAUCAUCAUCUGCAAGGGAUACCUGGAGCUGUGGCUGGGCUGCAAGAAGCGUGGACCUGAGAAGACAAGCCCAUGCUGGGAUGGCAGGUGGAAAGACAGCAAGAACCUGGUUUCAGUAAAUGUAUUAGUUGCCCUACCUCUGGAUUUGCUAUUAUUUAAGAAAAUAAAUACCUUUACUAUCUAAGUCACUUUGAUUUUAUUUUUAAAA